GAACGCGAAGAACCUUACCUGGUCUUGACAUGUACGGAACCUUCCAGAGACGGAAGGGUGCCUUCGGGAGCCGUAACACAGGUGCUGCAUGGCUGUCGUCAGCUCGUGUCGUGAGAUGUUGGGUUAAGUCCCGCAACGAGCGCAACCCUUGUCAUUAGUUGCCAUCAUUCAGUUGGGCACUCUAAUGAGACUGCCGGUGACAAACCGGAGGAAGGUGGGGAUGACGUCAAGUCCUCAUGGCCCUUAUGACCAGGGCUUCACACGUCAUACAAUGGUCGGUACAAAGGGUAGCCAAGCCGCGAGGCGGAGCCAAUCUCAUAAAACCGAUCGUAGUCCGGAUUGCACUCUGCAACUCGAGUGCAUGAAGUCGGAAUCGCUAGUAAUCGCAGGUCAGCAUACUGCGGUGAAUACGUUCCCGGGUCUUGUACACACC
rnacentral:rRNA from 1 species